GAUGAACGCUGGCGGCGUGCCUAAUACAUGCAAGUCGAGCGAACAGAUGCGGAGCUUGCUCCUCUGACGUUAGCGGCGGACGGGUGAGUACCACGUGGAUACCCUACCUAUAAGACUGGGAUAACUUCGGGAAACCGGAGCUAAUACCGGCUAAUAUUUUGAACCGCAUGCUUCAAUAGUGAAAGACGGCUUUGCUCUCACUUAUAGAUGGAUCCGCGCCGCAUUAGCUAGUUGGUAAGGUAACGGCUUACCAAGGCAACGAUGCGUAGCCGACCUGGGAGGGUGAUCGGCCACACUGGAACUGAGACACGGUCCAGACUCCUACGGGAGGCGGCAGUAGGGAAUCUUCCGCAAUGGGCGAAAGCCUGACGGAGCAACGCCGCGUGAGUGAUGAAGGUCUUCGGAUCGUAAAACUCUGUUAGUAGGGAAGAACAAAUGUGUAAGUAACUAUGCACGUCUUGACGGUACCUAAUCAGAAAGCCACGGCUAACUACGUG
rnacentral:rRNA from 1 species